CUCCACCCGCCCGCGCGCCCCUGCCGCGGCCGCGGAGCACGCCAGUUACCUACUUGUGGAAGGAGACGGGCUUGUCCUUAUCGUACCGGUUCUUGCAGCCGUAGGCGGAACAGGACUGCACCAUCCUUCUGGCCCUCCACACUUCCCCUCUGCCCGGGAGGCAGGUGAAGGGGCCGUCGGUGCCGCCGCGCUCGGCUUUGAUACGGUCGCCGCUUUCGGUGGCUUUGGUUAGCAGUUAUGGGGACGAUUACCUCACCGUGGGGGGUGACCACCCGGUCCGUUGUGGUGUUUGCUUUAGCAGAAAGACAACAGCUGUCGCUCGUCUCCCAUCUUCAAGAUGGCGGAGGCAGCUUCAACCUCACCUCUCGCGAGGAGUUCGCUCGCAGGCUCUGAUUAGCCGAAGACAGGACUGGAGAGAUGACUCAGUGGUUAAGAGCACUGACUGCUGUUCCAGAGGACCCGAGUUCAAUUCCCCAGUAACCACAUGGUGGCUCACAACCAUCUGUAACAGGAUCCAGUGCCCUCUUCUGGAGUGUCUGAAGACAGCUGCAGUGUACUCAUAAACAAAAAAUAAAUAAAUCUUUAAAAAAAAUUUUCUCCAAGACAAAACAGAUUCAACAUCUCAACACUUUAAUAUUUUCCUGUCCAUAUCAGGGGCUAAGAUCCACAGUUCUCUGGAAAAACAUAUACUUGUAGAUAAAAGGAUGAUAGGAAAACCCUCAGUAACAAAGUGACAUUAAAAGUAUAAAGCUAUGGUUUUCAGAGAACACAAAGCGCCUCUGACUGACCUGUUCUACUCACAUUUGACACGUCUCUGAGUGCUGCCACAGUGCAGAAAGUAAAGCACUGUAUGGCCUGGCUCUGAGACCAGCCCUUGUAAUCAGGAGAUGGAAGUCUUGUACUGUGCUGGAACUAAGGUUAGUCUGCUGCUUUCAUGACCCAGGGAAAGAUGGGUCACAGCUGCCUAAGGACAAUACCGGGGCCUUGAAGAGCAUACACAGCUAAGAAUGUAACAACCCGUAAAGAGUGAGGCUAAUGCAUACACUGAGAUAAAACGGAAGGGGCUAAAUCAGGUUCAGGGGGCUGCAGAGACAGCUCAGUGGGUAAGAGCACUGGCUGCUCUUCCAGAGGUCCUGAGUUCAAUUCCCAGCAACCACAUGGUGGCUCACAACCAUCUGUAAUGGGAUUCAAUACCCUCUUCAGACUUACAGAUGUGCUUGCAGACAGAGUACUCAUUUACAUAGAACAUAAAUAAAUAAAUCUUAAAAAAGAAAAAGAACAGGUUAGUUUUGGAUCAUUCUAGAUGUUUUUAUCCUUCCUGAGGACAAGAAAAGCACUAAUCAGAUAUUUUCCAAAGGUAAAUGAAGGAGUGAUUAAGUGGUAUGGACAACAGACACAGUCAUCCAUGCCUUCACAGACCUGUUAAUAAAAACAUAGUCUCUAAAAUAAGGAAAUAAUUUUAAGUCUCUAGCAGGAUUAGCCCUUAAAGUCAGCACCAUCAAAUCAGAUCUUAAGAGAUCUAAUCUUCAUGGUCUUUUCCUUCUUGUAACUAUUCUUUUCUUAAAGCUAAUGUAAGGUUUUAGAACACAAACUGUUUGGUUUUUUUUUUUUUAAAUGCAGUCUUGCUAGAAAUGGUGGUGUAUACCUUUAAAUCUCACUUUGGAAACAGAGACAGGUAGAUCUCUGUGAGUUCAAGGCCAGCCUGGUUUACACAGUGAGUUCUAGGACAGCUGGGGUUGACUAGUGAGCCACUGUCCCUAAACAAACAAAUGAAUGGAUGUAACUGAGCAUGCACUGUGACUAGGCACUGUGUUAGUGGUGUGCACACCUGGAAGAGAUGGCACAGCCUCACCAUGAGGGACUUCAGCAUCUGCAAGACAGACAGGAGGCUGACCUGUUACACAGCCUGUUACAUGGCACUGCCGGUGGCAUCAAAACUGAACUUUCACUUGGGAGGUCCAGUAAACCUGAAGAAUAAGGAAAAGCCUGCGGCACUAGGAGGAGUGUUUGGUAAGCUAAUGUAGACAGAGUCGUGACCGUGUGCUCAAGCCAGAGACUGUAGCCUGCCUCUUAUUCCAAGGUCAUUUGCCAGUCAAGCAGCAGUCGCAGCAGUACUAAUGAUGGUCCUGCUUCCAGGUUAAACGACUGAAAUCAUGGAAGCAACAGCCACCAGACUAAGAGAGCCUUACUAAUCCCUAGUCAGUUUUCAGUACAAACACUCUAGGAAAGCCAUGGGUAAAGAGAAAAAGUGGGGUUGGGGAUUUAGCUCAGUGGUAGAGCGCUUGCCUAGCAAGCACAAGGCCCUGGGUUCGGUCCCCAGCUCCAAAAAAAAAAGAAAAGGAAAAAAAAAAAAAGAACCCAAAAGCUUCUAAAAAAAAAAAAAAAAGAGAGAGAGAGAGAAAAAGUAGGCUGAGUGUGUGUGGCAAUCUGAACAGGAAUGGUGCCCAUGAUCUCAUACUUUCUGAUGUUUGGUCAUUAGAAAGUGGCACUACUUGACAGGGGUUAAAGGUGUGGCCUUGUUGGAGUAGGUCUGGCUGCUAGAGGAAGUGUGUCUGUCACUGGGGGGCUGGGCUGUGGGGUUUCAAAUGCUUCAGCCAGGCUCAGUGGCGCUCUCCUUGCUGCCCUUGAACCUGCAGAAUGCUCAGCUCCUUCUCCAGGACUGUGUCCUCCUGCUUGCCGCCAUGCUUCCUGCCUUGAUCAUGGCCCACACUUCUGAAACUGGGAGCCAGCACCAGCUGUUUCCUUUAUAAAAUUUGCCGUGGUCAUGGUGACUCUUCACAGCGAUAGAACUCUGGCUAAGACAUGGUGGGACUAAUUUUUUCAGUUUCAGAUACACUACCUGGCCUCCAUGUUUCUGGAAAAAGGUAAGCACUGCUGGCAAUUAGCUUAUGGAAAUGAAUUGCUCAUGUCCAUCAAACUAGCCACAGAAACAGUGUGAGAGGGACAAAUCAACGUUCCUUCUAACCAUGUGGGAAAAGUGAAAAGUUCUGAGGUAGUCUGGGACUGCAGAAAUGAAAAGGAAACAAGAAGCAAGUCUGGCUCUCCUGCUCCAACAGUAAUGGGGGAUGAUUGCUAAAACAAAGGAAACACACAUUGUAAGACUACCCGAGUGGCUUCAUUAUUAAAGUCCAAAGAAAAGGGGACAAGUUAAAUACUAAAAUAUUUUAAAAAGGAAGAAUAAAUAUAUUUUCCCAAAAGAGAACUCGCUUAUCUCUUGUUUUUCACUACAACUGUAGGACUUCAAAUAGAAUUUCCUUUUCUAUGAUACCUUAGUGAUUUUUUUAAAAAAUAUAGUGGGGUCACAGAUACAGGAGAUCAAAGUGCAGCAGUCUGGCUGCAGGAAGGAUGCUCGGUGGUUAAGAAAGCUCCCUGCUCUUGCAGAGGACGGAGGUUCCGUUCACCGCGGCAAUAUGGUGGCUCCUAGUUACUUAUAGCUUCAGGGUGAGAGGAUCCAGCGCCCCUGUGACCUCUAUGGAUGCUGGCACACAGGCUGUGUACUUACACUCAGGCACAGACACAUAAAAUAAACCAUUUUAAACCAAAAGAAGCCCUGAUAUUUAUGAAAUGAAAUUCCACAAGUGACACUUUAUAACCACAGAAGUUACCGUUUGUCUACAGAUAGGACAACUGAUUGCGCCAAGCCAAGACCCGUAUCGCCAGUAUGCAAUUAUGCAGGAACCUAGAAGAAUAAGAAGACAUCAACACUGGAGCUUUAAAGUUCAUAUAUGCUGGUCAGUUUCAACCAUUUAACAGCAUUCCUCUCCUUAGAGCAUUGUUUUACUACAUUGUUUAUCUACACCGCUUAUUAAAUAUUCCUUAAAAGAGUUACUUCAUACAACCAAAUCUUCAAGUAAAUUAAAACCUGGCAAUUGGGCUGGAGAGAUGGCUCAGUGGUUAAGAGCACUGACUGCUCUUCCAGAGGUCAUGAGUUCAAUUCCCAGCAACCACAUGGUGGCUCACAACCAUCUGUAAUGAGAUCUGGUGCCCUCCUCUGGCCUGCAGUCACAUAUGCAGGCAGAAUGCUGUACAUAAAAUAAAUAAAUAAAUCUUAAAAAAAAAAAAAAAACCAACCUGGCAAUCAUUCCCAACCACUAAAAAACAUUUUUAUUUCAGCCACUAAUUAAGCAAUGGACAUUUUUAUACAAUAAAAAGCAAAUAUUAAUCACCUCAAUUACUGAGGCCUCAGAGAGAACAAUUUCCUAUGUAAAAUAAACAUGAUACUAUGUAUGACAAACUAUAAGAUACUAUUUGUUCCAAAUUUGAUGUAUUGGAAAACUAUUUAUUUUAGGAGUUCACUGAACCAGCAAGGUGUGGUGACACAUACCUACAAUCCUAGCACUUGGGAAGCAGAGACCUCUGCAUUUCAAGUGAGAGGGCUCUUUGGGCUACCCAGUGAGACCCUGUCUCAACAAUACCAAGGUUUAAAAAGACAAAUUAAGUAAGCUGUGGUGGAUAUAAUCCCUUUACUUAGGAGGUUGGUAAAAGGAUCAGGAGUUUAAGAUCAACCUCAACUACACAGAAAGUUCAAGGCCAGCCUCAGCUACAUGAAACCUUUCCUCCCUGCCACUCUAAAACCUGAAAACCAAUUACUCAAGUAGUGGGUUUCCUACUUAUCUUAGCUUAAUGUCUGAAGGACUUACUGUACGAGGUGAUGUUCAUGAGGAUGGCAGUAAAGUCUCUACUGUAGAACCAGGAGCACCUACCUCAGUUUCUCUGAACCAAUGUAAAAUAGUUGGAUGUGGUGGCACACACGUGAUCCCAGUACUGGGGAGGCAAAAGAAGAAGGCUACUUGGGGUUCACUGAUGACUCGGGCUAGCCUUCCUGACAAGCUCCCUAACAGUAAGAAACAGGAUCUCCCCUGUGCCUGGGGAGUUGCUGAGUGUGUAAAAUCAGAGCAGGUGUGAGGACUCCAUCCCAGCCUGAUCCCAUGAUCCUUUUGUUACUGCUGCUGCUUAAAUCCAGCCCCUCCAGUUUGUGCCUCUGAUUCCAAAGCAGAAAAUGUGGCAUAUGAAGAUUCCUGAACCAUGAUGGCCAGUCAGUCUAGCCAGAUGUGCAAGCUCUAGGUUGAGUAAGGGUCUCGUCUCAAAAAUAGGAAUAGAGUGAUUGAGGAAGAUAUCACCACAUUCAUGCACACCCAUCCCACCACGCUACAUACACAAAAGAAAAAGAAAAAAGGUAAAGAGUGUCCUGAGAAGCAACCCCUGAGGUUGAUGUGGGAUUCCACAAGCACCCACACCAUAUACACAUAUAUACUCACAUGAUCACACACACACACACACACACACACACACACACAGAGAGAGAGAGAGAGAGAGAGAGAGAGAGAGAGAGAGAGAGAGAGAGAGAGAGAUUCAUGAACAACAAAACAACCAAAGAUAGCAACCCUGCCGGAAGAAAUAAUUUAUAGGACCUCAGAAGUGGUAGGGUCACUCAGGAGAUAAACACUUAAUUCAAUCCGGUAACAUGAAGGAACAUUUUUACUGUCUGAUGCUUUUAAAGGGCCAAAGGUCUUCAUGUAUUCUAGGCAAGUACUCUAAAAACUCAGCUACAUUCCCAGGCCAUGUUCCUUACUUUGACCUCUCCAGGACAGAAUUUAGAAGAGGCAAGAGCAAUCCAAUUGUGGAAACUGAAGUGAUACGCUCCAGUCAGUUACAAGACAGCUAAACCUUAAAUUGUGGGAUGGUGAAUGAAAAGGAACAGACAGAAGGUCAGAGACGUCAACCUGAGUACAGCACUUGAACUGAACUCUGUAGGAGAACUAACGAGGUAGAAAACAGGACACAGACAUUUCUGUUCUUCAUAACAAGAGUUAAAGCAGAAAGAAUGGCUUGUGAGAAAAUGGUGAGCAACCACUUAGAUUAGCAGGAACCAAAUUACAACCAACUCACCAGCUUCAUGAGUCUAAGAGCUAAACAGUUCCCUCGUCCCUGUGCCUUCAUGGAGCUCUGUGCUAAUCACAGUCUACUAAGUACUCUGGCAUUCUGCUCACACAUGAAACCUGUAUGAAAGCAACAGCUGGGGUUGUAGAGAUGGCUCAGUGCUAAACUGCAUGUCCCCAGAGCCCAUGUGAGAUAAACAAAGGUCAGGAGGUUAGGGAGCAUCCACAUAAAAGCCAAGUACGGUGGCAUGAGUCUGUAAGCCAGCAUGAGGGGUAAGUCACCAAGGCUUGCUGGCCAGCUGGUUUACCUUAACCACUGAGUCCCAGGUUGGUGGUAGGGGUGAGGGGUUGGGGGUCUGGGAGUGCUGGGGGCAGGGCAGACUGAGAGACUGAGAAAAGCCAGGUGAGAUGGCGCAUACAUUUGAUCCAGCAUUAGGUGGAUCUCUGAGUUUGAGGCCAUCCUGGUCGACACAGUGAGUUCCAGGAGAGCCAAAGCUACAUUAAUAGAGAUACCCUGUCCCAAAAAACAAACAAAAAAUAACACCAACAACCAUAAAAAACUAAGAUGAACAACAACACCAACCCCUGACCUCAAUACACAUAAAUGGUAUGUGUGCUCACACACAUGCACACAGGUAUGUGUGCCCACACAAAUACAUGAAUCUGCCUGUACACAUACAAAUAUUGAAUCUAUGACCUUUUUACCCAAAAAUUCAGCCUAUUUUGAGAAACACUGCAUUCAUUUAAUCUCGAAUAUCUUUUCCUCAAACUAGAGUGUGGGAGUCCUUAUUUUAUGUAACACCUUAUUUUAUGUAAUUAUGUAACACCAUUUGUCUUCACUGAAAAACUAUGACUCAGCAGAUUAAAUGCUUCAGCUCAUCUGCUAUUAGAUGCCUGAUUCUGUCUCAUUCAGUUUUCUCCCUCCACAGAAAAAGUAUUAUCUGGUGUGAAAGAUGACUUAACUUUCAUCUCAAUCUAUCUAGUUGCAAAAUGAAAACAAACUCUCACAGGCUUGAGAGAGUUAAUAAUGUAGAUUAUAGAUGUAAAUAAGAUGAUUCUACUGCUGCCUGUUCUGACUUACUGUAAUGGAGCAGAGGUGUUAGCUACAUAAAGAAUUACUGAGCUAAGAGCUCUUGACACACAUAGUAUUAGUAUACAUGAUCUGCUGUCCAGAGACUAAUUUUUGAGAAGUUACAUAAGAAAUUUUUUACCUUUAGAUUUACUGAAUAAAUAAACAUAACAUGGCUUAGUUGGUAGGGGCAGCUUAGCAUGCACAAGGUUAUCAACGAUCCUUAGUACAUAAUUAGCACGGUAGUGUGUGCCUGAAAUCUCAGCACCCAGGAGGUGCUGUGGAUCAGAAGUCCAAGGUCAUCCUGGGCUACACAGCACAUCUGAGGCCAAUCUAGGAUACCUGAGGCCCAUCUCAGAAGAAAAACGCACCUAACAAGGAGAGCAGGGUAUCAGCAGUAAUCUACCCUAUUACCUCAGACCCAGAGGUAAAAGCAAGAACACAAUACAACCAUCUUUCAAUUGACAGGAUUAUCCACCAGUGAAUUAGCUAAGCUUGAGCUGGCAAAUAAGUUCAUUUUGCCUGCCAAGCCUCACAAAGUGCCAAUACCUGCCCGGAGGAUAAUUAAGGCCGUGUUUAGAUUCAAGAGAAAGGAGGGCCAAAUGUAUUAGGAAUGCCUACUAUAGGUUUGAGAGCAGAAGAUUUCUGUUGUUUUUUAGCAAUCCAAACAAUAAUUAAAAGAUUGCUACAGGGCUGGGCAGUGGCCUUAGUGAGCAAAGCCUUGGCCAUACAAACUUGUGGAUCUGAGUUCAGAGCUCUAGAAUCCACAGAAGGCCAGAAGCAGGGGCACAUAUCUGUAACGUUAGUGCGCCCAAGGCUGGAUGCACAGAAAUAGCUCAUAGGCUAGCUAGCUUGGCAUGUGUAGAAGUGAGCAAGAAAUCCUAUCUUAAGGAAGAAAGCAAGGACUCACCUGGAUUCGUCACCCUAUACACAUACUAUGGCAUCACCUAUAUACAUACUAUGGCAUCACCUAUAUACAUACUAUGACAUCACCUAUACAUGUACUAUGACAUCACCUAUACACAUACUAUGACAUCACCUUUACGCAUACUAUGACAUCACCUAUACACAUACUAUGAUAUCACCUAUACAUGUACUAUGACAUUACCUAUACACAUACUAUGGCAUCACCUAUACAUGUACUAUGACAUCACCUAUACACAUACUAUGACAUCACCUAUACAUGUACUAUGACAUCACCUAUACACAUACUAUGACAUCUGGCCACAGAAGGUCUAAACCAAAACAAAAGAAAUAAAAAAGAAAGAAAGAAAAG